rnacentral:rRNA from 1 species
AGAGUUUGAUCCUGGCUCAGAAUCAACGCUGGCGGCGUGCCUCAGACAUGCAAGUCGAACGAUUAAAGCUCUCUUCGGAGAGUGUAUAGAGUGGCGCACGGGUGAGUAACACGUAAGUAAUCUACCUUUGAGUGGGGAAUAACGUCCGGAAACGGACGCUAAUACCGCAUAAUGCAGCGGCAUCGCAAGAUGACAGUUGUUAAAGAUUUAUCGCUUGAAGAGGAGCUUGCGGCAGAUUAGCUAGUUGGUAAGGUAAUGGCUUACCAAGGCUACGAUCUGUAACCGGUCUAAGAGGACGGUCGGUCACACUGACACUGAAUAACGGGUCAGACUCCUACGGGAGGCAGCAGUCGGGAAUUUUGGGCGAUGGGCGAAAGCCUGACCCAGCAACGCCGCGUGAAGGAUGAAGUAUUUCGGUAUGUAAACUUCGAAAGAAUGGGAAGAAUAAAUGACGGUACCAUUUAUAAGGUCCGGCUAACUACGUGCCAGCAGCCGCGGUAAUACGUAGGGACCAAGCGUUGUUCGGAUUUACUGGGCGUAAAGGGCGCGUAGGCGGCCCUACAAGUCACUUGUGAAAUCUCCGGGCUUAACUCGGAAUGGCCAAGUGAAACUGUAAGGCUAGAGUGCAGAAGGGGCAAUCGGAAUUCUUGGUGUAGCGGUGAAAUGCGUAGAUAUCAAGAGGAACACCUAAGGUGAAGACGGGUUGCUGGGCUGACACUGACGCUGAGGCGCGAAAGCCAGGGGAGCAAACGGGAUUAGAUACCCCGGUAGUCCUGGCCCUAAACGAUGAAUACUUGGUG